ACAUUCCCCGCGCCGCAGACGCGGCGCUGCCCUCAUCUCUGUGACAAGCACAGAGAUGAGGGCGAGGAGAGAU
rnacentral:sRNA from 1 species